rnacentral:rRNA from 1 species
GAUGAACGCUGGCGGCGUGCCUAAUACAUGCAAGUCGAGCGAACAGACGAGGAGCUUGCUCCUCUGACGUUAGCGGCGGACGGGUGAGUAACACGUGGAUAACCUCCCUAUAAGACUGGGAUAACUUCGGGACACCGGCGCUAAUACCGGCUCAUAUAUUGAACCGCAUGGUUCAAUAGUGAAAGACGGUUUUGCUGUCACUUAUAGAUGGAUCCGCGCCGCAUUAGCUAGUUGGUAAGGUAACGGCUUACCAAGGCAACGAUGCGUAGCCGACGGGGGAGGGGGGUCGGCCGCACUGGAGCUGGGACACGCACCAGACUCCUGCGGGACGCAGCAGUAGGGAAUCUGCCGCAACAGGGGAAAGCCUUGCGGAGCGACGCCGCGUGAGAGAUGGAGAUCUUCGGUGCGGAAAGCUCGGUUAUGAGGGAAGAACAAAUGUGUGAGGAACUGUACACGUAGUGACGGUACCUGAACAGAAAGCAACGGCUAACUACGUG